AUUGAACGCUGGCGGCAGGCCUAACACAUGCAAGUCGAACGAGUGGCGGACGGGUGAGUACUGUCUGGGAAAAUGCCUGAUGGAGGGGGAUAACUACUGGAAACGGUAGCUAAUACCGCAUACCAUCGGAUGUACCCAGAUGGGAUUAGCUAGUAGGUGGGGUAAAGGCUCACCUAGUCGACGAUCCCUAGCUGGUCUGAGAGGAUGACCAGCCACACUGGAAAUGAGACACGGUCCAGACUCCUACGGGAGGAAGCAGUGGGGAAUAUGGCACAAGGGGCGCAAGCCUGAGGCAGCCAUGCCGCGUGUAUGAAGAAGGCCUUCGGGUUGUAAAGUACGUUCAGCGGGGAGGCGUUACCCGCAGAAGAAGCACCGGCUAACUCCGUGCCAGCAGCCGCGGUAAUAC
rnacentral:rRNA from 1 species